GGAGAGUACAGCUCAGUGGUAGAGCGCAUGCUUAGCACGCACGAAGUGCUGGGUUCUAUCCCCAGGAACUCCA
rnacentral:tRNA from 1 species